AGUGGCGCACGGGUGAGUAAACGUGACUAACCUACCCUUGAGUGGGGGAUAACUGAGGGAAACCUUAGCUAAUACCGCAUAAUACCCACGGGUCAAAGGAGCAAUUCGCUCGAGGAGGGGGUCGCGGCCGAUUAGUUAGUUGGCGGGGUAAUGGCCCACCAAGACGAUGAUCGGUAUCCGGCCUGAGAGGGCGCACGGACACACUGGAACUGAAACACGGUCCAGACUCCUACGGGAGGCAGCAGUGGGGAAUUUUGCGCAAUGGGGGAAACCCUGACGCAGCAACGCCGCGUGGAGGAUGAAGUCCUUCGGGACGUAAACUCCUUUCGAUCGGGACGAUUAUGACGGUACCGGAAGAAGAAGCCCCGGCUAACUUCGUGCCAGCAGCCGCGGUAAUACGAGGGGGGCGAGCGUUGUUCGGAAUUAUUGGGCGUAAAGGGUGCGUAGGCGGUUUGGUAAGUCUGAUGUGAAAUCUAUGGGCUCAACUCAUAGUCUGCAUCGGA
rnacentral:rRNA from 1 species